GGUGAUGUGCAACGGGUAGGAUUCAUAACCCAUAGGUCGGCAGUUCGAUUCUGCCCAUCACCACCA
rnacentral:tRNA from 1 species